GGAGGAGGAGGAGAAGGAGGAGAAGGAGGAGAGUAAACAACACUAAAAUAUAUCGCAAACGCUGUACCGCUUGCCGUGGAGCAAUUGUAAAUAAGCGGCAAAGCAGGAAGCGAAAUUCGGCCAUUCGGCCAGGUACAGCCGACACCGCGGUGACAAGAACAUUGGCACUUGGAGCACGAGCGAUCGCUCGUCGAUGACGUCCGCUUCUCCGCGCGAUACAAUUGACAAGCGGCGAGCAGCCACUCUUAUCUUAUUUAUCUUUGUAUUCGAGCAAACACGUUGGCUGAAUAAAAAAUUAUUCGUUAUUCUCGAAUAA